rnacentral:rRNA from 1 species
UACAGAGGGUGCGAACGUUGCUCGGAAUUAUUGGGCGUAAAGGGCGCGUAGGCGGCCAUGCGUGUCUUCCGUGAAAUCCCUCGGCUUAACUGAGGACGUGCGGAAGAAACUGCAAGGCUCGAGUCCGGGAGAGGAGGGUGGAAUUCCCAGUGUAGCGGUGAAAUGCGUAGAUAUUGGGAGGAACACCGGUGGCGAAGGCGGCCCUCUGGACCGGUACUGACGCUGAUGCGCGAAAGCGUGGGUAGCAAACGGG